UUUUCCCUGCGCUGUUGGUGAUUUGUAUUAUCGUUGAGCCAACUCUCCAAAAAAGGGAGCUACCACUUUCCUCUGAUGGGAAAUCCACCGAUUUCCCUGACGCUGAUAUGCGGUUCCCACCUAUUUCGAUAGGUUUAACUCGUUCUACAAACACGGCAGGGUGGGGAAAAU
rnacentral:other from 2 species